AGGAGGGUCUGGCUAGUCCACGCAGCAUUCUGGGAUGGGAGAAUAACAUGUUCUGGUUUAUUGGCAUUUCUCUAAACCAAUCACAAUGGUCAUGGGCGGAGCUAAACUCUGCAUAGAGCUGCUGGGCGUGAGUAUGUGUG